GGGGAAUAUUGCGCAAUGGGGGGAACCCUGACGCAGCAACGCCGCGUGAGCGAGGAAGGCCUUCGGGUCGUAAAGCUCUGUCUAGAGGGAUGAAUGAUGACAGUACCUCUGGAGGAAGCCCCGGCUAACUACGUGCCAGCAGCCGCGGUAACACGUAGGGGGCGAGCGUUGUCCGGAAUUACUGGGCGUAAAGGGCGCGUAGGCGGUAGGUUAAGUCGGAUGUGAAAGUCCAUGGCUCAACCAUGGAAUUGCAUAUGAAACUGAUCUACUUGAGUUCAGGAGAGGAGAGCGGAAUUCCUAGUGUAGCGGUGAAAUGCGUAGAGAUUAGGAAGAACACCAGUGGCGAAGGCGGCUCUCUGGACUGUAACUGACGCUGAGGCGCGAAAGCGUGGGUAGCGAAC
rnacentral:rRNA from 1 species